CCUACGGGUGGCUGCAGUAAGGAAUAUUGGACAAUGCUCGCAAGAGUGAUCCAGCCAUGCCGCGUGCAGGAAGACGGCCCUAUGGGUUGUAAACUGCUUUUGAACUAGAGAAAACCCCCCUUCGUGAAGGGGGCUGAUAGUAUAGUUAGAAUAAGCAUCGGCUAACUUCGUGCCAGCAGCCGCGGUAAGACGAAGGAUGCAAGCGUUAUCCGGUUUCAUUGGGUUGAAGGUGAAUUUGUAAGGCAUUGUAGAAAGCCGGCAGCUUAACUGUCGAACUGCCAUUGAUACUGCGGAUCUUGAGUAUGGUUGCUGUGGGCGGAAUAUGACAUGUAGAGGUGAAAUUCAUAGAGAUGUCAUAGAACACCGAUUGCGAAGGCAGCUCACAAAGCCAUUACUGACACUGAGGCUCGAAAGUGCGGGGAUCAAACAGGAUUAGAUACCCGGGUAGUC
rnacentral:rRNA from 1 species